GGAGUAUAGCUCAGUAGGAGAGUGGAUGUUUGGCGUGCACUGUGUCCUGGGUUCAAUCCCUAGUACCUCCC
rnacentral:tRNA from 1 species